rnacentral:rRNA from 1 species
GGCGGCGUGGAUAAGACAUGCAAGUCGAGCGAGAUUUUUCGUUGUAGCAAUACGAUGGAAAGUCUAGCGGCGAACGGGUGCUUAACACGUGGGCAACCUGCCAUGAAGUGGGGGAUAGCUCGCCGAAAGGCGAAUUAAUACCGCAUGUGAUUAGAGAGGACAUCCUUUCGAGAUUAAAGUCGGGGCAACCUGACGCUUCUUGUGGGGCCCGCGGCCUAUCAGCUAGUUGGUGAGGUAACGGCUCACCAAGGCUUUGACGGGUAGCUGGUCUGAGAGGACGACCAGCCACACUGGGACUGAGACACGGCCCAGACACCUACGGGUGGCAGCAGUCGAGAAUUUUUGACAAUGGGGGAAACCCUGAUCGAGCGACGCCGCGUGGAGGAUGAAGGUCUUCGGAUUGUAAACUCCUGUCAUUUGGGAACAAGGUGCACACGUUAACUGCGUGUGCAUUGAUAGUACCAGAAGAGGAAGAGACGGCUAACUCUGUGCCAGCAGCCGCGGUAAUACAGAGGUCUCAAGCGUU